GAUGAACGCUGACAGAAUGCUUAACACAUGCAAGUCUACUUGAUUCUACUUCGGUAGUUGAUGGUGGCGGACGGGUGAGUAACGCGUAAAGAAUCUGCCCUUUAGUUUGGGAUAACCUUUGGAAACGAAGGCUAAUACCGAAUAUUAUGGAGAUGUCGCAUGACGACUUCAUGAAAGCUAUAUGCGCUAGAGGAGGACUUUGCGGACCAUUAGUUAGUUGGUGAGGUAAUGGCUCACCAAGACCGCGAUGGGUAGCCGGCCUGGGAGGGUGAUCGGGCAAAAGGGAACUGAAGCACAGUCCUUACUCCUACGGGAGGCAGCAGUGGGGAAUAUUGGACAAUCGACCACAAGUCUGAUCCAGCAAUUCUGUGUGCACGAUGAAGGUCUUCGGAUUGUAAAGUGCUUUCAGUAGGAAAGAAAAAAAUGACGGUACCUACAGAAGAAGCGACGGCUAAAUAUGUGCCAGCCGCCGCAGUAA
rnacentral:rRNA from 1 species